GAGUUUGAUCAUGGCUCAGGACGAACGCUGGCGGCGUGCUUAACACAUGCAAGUCGAGCGAUGAAGCUUCCUUCGGGAAGUGGAUUAGCGGCGGACGGGUGAGCAACACGUGGGCAACCUGCCUUAUAGAGGGGAAUAGCCUUCCGAAAGGAAGAUUAAUACCGCAUAACAUUACAUUUUCGCAUGAAGAAGUAAUUAAAGGAGUAAUCCGCCAUAAGAUGGGCCCGCGGCGCAUUAGCUAGUUGGUGAGGUAACGGCUCACCAAGGCGACGAUGCGUAGCCGACCUGAGAGGGUGAUCGGCCACAUUGGGACUGAGACACGGCCCAGACUCCUACGGGAGGCAGCAGUGGGGAAUAUUGCACAAUGGGGGAAACCCUGAUGCAGCAACGCCGCGUGAGUGAUGAAGGUCUUCGGAUCGUAAAGCUCUGUCUUCAGGGACGAUAAUGACGGUACCUGAGGAGGAAGCCACGGCUAACUACGUGCCAGCAGCCGCGGUAAUAC
rnacentral:rRNA from 1 species